GAAGAUUUUACAGCAGUAAAGAAUUUUAUGUAAUAUACGGAAGUAAGACAUAGUUAGGAUAUAUUUACCUGUCAAAUUAAGUGCCAGCAGACGCGGUGAAACUUAAGGGGUUUUUUUUUAGAAAAAGCAGAAAGCGUGUAAAAGCAAAGAGAUACUUAAAAUAAAUAGAAUUUUUUUAGUAAAAGUAAAAUGUAAUUAUAAGAAAAAGAAUUUUAUAUGUGAAAAUAAUUUAUUUUUGUUUUCUUAAACACGAAGGUUUUGGGAGUAAACAGGAUUAGAGACCCUGGUAAUCAAUACAGAAAAAAGAAAUCGCUUGAGUAGUACGGUCGCAAGAUUAAAAUUCAAAAAAUUUGGCUGUUCAUUGUUAUUUAGAGGAGCGUGUCGCUUAAUUCGAUAAUCCGCGAGUUACCUUACCAAAACUAGAUUCCAAGUUGGUUCUGGUGUUGCAUGGCCGUCGUCAAUUUAUGUUUAAUACAAUAAAUUAAAUCCUAAAAAGGUUGAAGUCAGGUAUUAUUGCCCUUAUGUUUUGGGGUUAGAUGCGCUACAUUUUUUUAAUAAAAAAAAGAGAGUCCGGAUUGGCCCCGAACGGGGCCAAUUAAGUUGAAUUUAAUAGUAAUUGAAAAGUAGAGCGGUUUAAUGAAUUUUAAGCAAUGUUAGUACAAAUUGCCCGUCGCCUUUGCUAAGGAAAACAAAGCAGAGUAA
rnacentral:rRNA from 1 species